UGCAUGCACUACUGUAAGUCGCUCUGGAUAAGAGUGUCUGCUAAAUGACGUAAA
rfam:Salmo salar isolate Sally breed double haploid chromosome ssa10, whole genome shotgun sequence.